AAGUCGUAACAAGGUAACCGUAGGUGAACCUGCGGUUGGAUCAUUAAACAUUUUUUUUGGCUCCCUUUGACGCAAGUUAAAGGGGUUUGACAAAAAUUAAACCCACCUGUGAACCAAUUGAACGAAGUUAGCCGUUAUAAAGUGCACCUUGUUGUGUUGAGUUGCUGUUGAUUAGUAGUAGUCUAGGAGUUUUAUCUCCCGACUCCUCUUCUUCAGUGUGUGCUCUUCACUUAACCACACGUAAGCCCUGGCUUUGGUGACUGUUGAAGGGACCUAGGUGUCUUCACAAUUAUAGCGGUUGACGGCUUACAGUAUACUUUUACUAUUUUUAAACCCAAAACUCUUAUUUUUCCUUGUAAUGAGGAAGCCAAACAGAAACAACUUUAGACAAUGGAUCUCUUGGCUCUC
rnacentral:misc_RNA from 1 species